GACGAAGGGGGCAAGCGUUGUUCGGAAUUACUGGGCGUAAAGCGCACGUAGGCGGGUUGUUAAGUCAGGGGUGAAAUCCUGGAGCUCAACUCCAGAACUGCCUUUGAUACUGGCAACCUAGAGACUGGAAGAGGUUAGUGGAAUUCCCAGUGUAGAGGUGAAAUUCGUAGAUAUUGGGAAGAACACCAGUGGCGAAGGCGGCUAACUGGUCCAGCACUGACGCUGAGGUGCGAAAGCGUGGGGAGCAAACAGG
rnacentral:rRNA from 1 species